rnacentral:rRNA from 1 species
UGAUCGCAUGGUGUUCUGGGAAAGCCUUUGCGGCAUGGGAUGGGGUCGCGUCCUAUCAGCUUGAUGGCGGGGUAACGGCCCACCAUGGCUUCGACGGGUAGCCGGCCUGAGAGGGCGACCGGCCACAUUGGGACUGAGAUACGGCCCAGACUCCUACGGGAGGCAGCAGUGGGGAAUAUUGCACAAUGGGCGCAAGCCUGAUGCAGCGACGCCGCGUGAGGGAUGGAGGCCUUCGGGUUGUAAACCUCUUUUGUUAGGGAGCAAGGCAUUUUGUGUUGAGUGUACCUUUCGAAUAAGCACCGGCUAACUACGUGCCAGCAGCCGCGGUAAUACGUAGGGUGCAAGCGUUAUCCGGAAUUAUUGGGCGUAAAGGGCUCGUAGGCGGUUCGUCGCGUCCGGUGUGAAAGUCCAUCGCUUAACGGUGGAUCCGCGCCGGGUACGGGCGGGCUUGAGUGCGGUAGGGGAGACUGGAAUUCCCGGUGUAACGGUGGAAUGUGUAGAUAUCGGAAAGAAACACCA